rnacentral:rRNA from 1 species
UACGAAGGGGGCUAGCGUUGCUCGGAAUCACUGGGCGUAAAGCGCACGUAGGCGGCUUUUUAAGUCAGGGGUGAAAUCCUGGAGCUCAACUCCAGAACUGCCUUUGAUACUGAGAAGCUUGAGUCCGGGAGAGGUGAGUGGAACUGCGAGUGUAGAGGUGAAAUUCGUAGAUAUUCGCAAGAACACCAGUGGCGAAGGCGGCUCACUGGCCCGGUACUGACGCUGAGGUGCGAAAGCGUGGG